rnacentral:rRNA from 1 species
AGAGACAGCAGUCGCCGCGGGAAUACGUAGGUCCCGAGCGUUGUCCGGAUUUAUUGGGCGUAAAGCGAGCGCAGGCGGUUAGAUAAGUCUGAAGUUAAAGGCUGUGGCUUAACCAUAGUACGCUUUGGAAACUGUUUAACUUGAGUGCAAGAGGGGAGAGUGGAAUUCCAUGUGUAGCGGUGAAAUGCGUAGAUAUAUGGAGGAACACCGGUGGCGAAAGCGGCUCUCUGGCUUGUAACUGACGCUGAGGCUCGAAAGCGUGGGGAGCAAACAGGAUUAGAUACCCCCGUAGUCCCUGUCUCUUAUACA